CUACGGGCCGCAGCAGUGGGGAAUUUUGCACAAUGGGCGCAAGCCUGAUGCAGCGACGCCGCGUGCGGGAAGAAGGCCUUCGGGUUGUAAACCGCUUUCAGCAGGGAAGAAGGAAUGAGGAUUAAUACUCCUCUGCCUAGACGGUACCUGCAGAAGAAGCUCCGGCUAAUUUCGUGCCAGCAGCCGCGGUAAUACGAAAGGGGCAAGCGUUGUUCGGAUUUACUGGGCGUAAAGAGAUCGUAGGUGGUUUAUCAAGUCGGGUGUGAAAUCCCGGGGCUCAACCCCGGAACUGCAUUCGAUACUGGUAGACUUGAGUUCGGGAGGGGGAUGCGGAAUUCCGCGUGUAGCAGUGAAAUGCGUAGAUAUGCGGAGGAACACCAGAGGCGAAGGCGGCAUCCUGGACCGAUACUGACACUGAGGAUCGAAAGCGUGGGGAGCAAACAGGAUUAGAUACCCGAGUAGUC
rnacentral:rRNA from 1 species